rnacentral:rRNA from 1 species
UACGAGGGGGCGAGCGUUGUUCGGAAUUAUUGGGCGUAAAGGGUGCGUAGGUCGGUUCCGCAAGUCCUUGUGUGAAAUCUUCGGGCUCAACUCGAAGUCUGCACGGGAAACUGCGGGCUUGAGUGUGGGAUGAGGUGAGUGGAAUUCCCGGUGUAGCGGUGAAAUGCGUAGAUAUCGGGAGAACACCUGUGGCGAAAGCGGCUCACUGGACCAUAACUGAACGCUGAUGGCAACGAAAGCUGGGGGAGCGAAACAGGA